rnacentral:rRNA from 1 species
UACGUAGGGGGCAAGCGUUGUCCGGAAUUAUUGGGCGUAAAGAGCGCGCAGGCGGUCGUUCAAGUCGCGUGUGAAAGCCCCCGGCUCAACUGGGGAGGGUCACGCGAUACUGAUCGACUGGAAGGCAGGAGAGGGUAGUGGAAUUCCCGGUGUAGUGGUGAAAUGCGUAGAUAUCCGGAGGAACACCGGUGGCGAAGGCGGCUUCCUGGACCGACACUGACGCUGAGGCGCGAAAGCUAGGGGAGCAAACGGG